GAAGUGAUCACCAGCCACCUUAAGGCGCCGGCCACACUGCAGCUCAGGUGGUUGAGAGGCCUCCGGCUUUGCGUCUUCAUUUAUUCCGGUCUACAACACCUAAACCUCCCUUGUCGGGCGUGGAGAACGGUUUCGAUUAUUCGGCAUACUUCAGAAUUCUGAGACCCAGGGCUGGACACAAACAAACAAAAAACAUGAAGAAUAAAUUUAGCUGUGGACAGAGCUCAGAGGGAGUGCACAAGGUCCUGGGUCUGAGUCUCAGUACCCAUGAUGAGACCCUGCUAGGACAAAGCCAGCUCUGCCCCCAGGCGUCAGAACAGCUCUCCAGUUACCAUGGGGCACAAGCUUGCUGAUGGCAAAGCAGAUGCAUUUUCAUGAGACACCAGGCUCUGUUUCUACUGUAAUAAAGAUGACUCCACGUCACAAGGACCAAAUAGCAUGUUACAAAAUACACUCAAACGGUUUGCAACUGAUCUUCUCACAGGAAACAUUUCAACCAUGGAAACUAUCUCACUGCCUCAUUUCAAUAAAGGAUCCAAAAUAUCUAGGCC